rnacentral:rRNA from 1 species
CCGGCACGGGUGAGUAACACGUAUCCAACCUGCCGUCUACUCUUGGACAGCCUUCUGAAAGGAAGAUUAAUACAAGAUGGCAUCAUGAGUCCGCAUGUUCACAUGAUUAAAGGUAUUCCGGUAGACGAUGGGGAUGCGUUUCAUUAGAUAGUAGGCGGGGUAACGGCCCACCUAGUCUUCGAUGGAUAGGGGUUCUGAGAGGAAGGUCCCCCACAUUGGAACUGAGACACGGUCCAA